rnacentral:lncRNA from 1 species
UUCGGGAAUACUGAGUGGAGAUUCCGUUUUCAGUCUUUAGGUGGUGAUCCCCAUGGCCUGUGGCAUGAGUUCAAGCAGGAUGGGGGUAGGAAGUGAGGAACAGCUGAGGAAUUAGAUGAGUUUGAGGGAAGGUAGCUGUGGGACCUCUUUUUUGGUGUAAAUCUCCGAAGGUAUCCUGGGAGGCUCCCGUUUCUCUCCUUCAGUUUUCCCAGUGGCCCAAGUGAUUGAUUCACCUGCUUCUUUUUACCUAUCUCCACUAGUGUCAUUGAAGGCUUCUGUUAC